UUUCUAUCCUACUUGAGAACUAAGUAGGACAGAAAUGAAAGUGACUGUUUUGAAAAUCCAAUAUAAUUUGACAGUAAAAUAAGAAACUGUGUUGAUUUGAACAAUUCAAACAACAACAACAAAAACAAACAGUGUCUUGAUAAUUGGAAAUUAAUUUCUCCUGUCUUGAAUAGACAACUCCUUUCAUGUGAACAUGUGAACUCCUUUCAGAAACAUGGCAUGAAGCUAUUUGCCUUUGGUCUGGUCUUCAAACUUUCUACCCCAAUUUUUUUCCCUCACAGAUCUGCUGUGUAUAGCACUGCAUGUGGUAGUAUUUUCUUCUUUUCAGACAGUGUCUUCAAGACAUUUGCCAGGUCAUCAUAAAGCUCCCACACAGAUGGAGUUCUCUGGCAGUAUGCAGUAUAAUGUCCCAGGCCAUCUUUGGUCAAGCUUCCCCUGAAAGCAAUGACUGCUCUCAAAGUAAGUGUUUUUCCUUGGAGAACCAUAAUGGAGGGAAAUUCACUCAAGGCGAAUUCAGUUGGAUUUGGAAGGUCACUGUCAAUCCAUGUUAUUUCUCCAAUGCUGUAGCUUGGUCGGAGGCAGGGAGACUGUGGGAGGAAGAGUCCUUUUUCUACUGAAGUGCCAAGCUGAGCCAUGCCAGAAUUCUUCAGGACAGAAAUGUCAGGUGAAACAAAUGUGGCAAUAUUGCACUGGGCAUCGAUUUGAUGAUGAAUCUGCAUGGAGCCAUUCAGUGCAGGAACUCAGAGCAAAUCCGCAUAUUUCCUUCGAUGAAGGAAAGAUGCCGAGAAAUGAAGCGAUCGACUCGCAUGGGUAAGUUCUCAUGUUUGAACAGGCCAUGUUUUACAUUUUUGAAUUCAGCUUCAACAUUGGCUGAGCUUGCCGUGAGGCUGGUGCUUUUGAAGAGUGGAACCAUUAUUCCUGUCCACAGUGGUAAGUAACUUGCAAGUCUUAUAAUGUGUGGCACAAUCUCAGGGAGGAAAUGGAUGUUAUCCCUAUCCCCAUUAGCUGCAGCGUGUGUCCUGCUCUCCUCACAAAUGUUUGACACCCAGUCUCGUAGGUCAGUCUGAAUGUCAUCACAUGGAUCCACUUGAUGCACUUCCUUUGUGUCUUCAUCUGGAAUGAGGAUGGAAUCUUCUGCAAUCUGGGCUUUCAGGUAUUUUUUGCACCUCUCUGAUUCAAGAGGGGUUCCAGAACUAUCAUCACCUUCUGCCUCACUGAGAGCCACAACAGUGAUGGCAUGUAUUAACUGCUUUGCAUGGUCCAAGCUUUGUGCUUGAAGAAGCUUUGCUAUUCCCCUGACAAAGAAGUCUUUGACACGGUGUGACUUGUUUUUCAUGCAGUCCCACUGGCAGACCAUCUUUAUGCAGUGGGCAACAUCAACCCUGAUGUAACAGGGAGGAAGUUUUGCAGACUGGUUCCCAAGUAGCACACGGAAGCAUUCAUCAAUGUAUGACUUCAGGUUAGAAAGAGGAGUGAAGGCCUUCACCAGAGCACCAAGAAUAGCCAGGGAAAAGUCACUCACAGCUUCCCUUGGUACAGCUGCGCCUGCACGAAGCCAUUCUGUCAGC